rnacentral:rRNA from 1 species
UCUUCCGCAAUGGACGAAAGUCUGACGGAGCAACGCCGCGUGAGUGAUGAAGGUUUUCGGAUCGUAAAACUCUGUUGUUAGGGAAGAACAAGUACCGUUCGAAUAGGGCGGCACCUUGACGGUACCUAACCAGAAAGCCACGGCUCACUACGUGCCAUCCGGCGCGGUAAUAAGUAGGUGGCAAGCGUUGUCCGGAAUUAUUGGGCGUAAAGCGAGCGCAGGGGGUUUCGUAAGUCUGAUGUGAAAGCCCCCGGCUCAACCGGGGAGGGUCAUUGGAAACUGGGGAACUUGAGUGCAGAAGAGGAGAGUGGAAUUCCACGUGUAGCGGUGAAAUGCGUAGAGAUGUGGAGGAACACCAGUGGCGAAGGCGACUCUCUGGUCUGUAACUGACGCUGAGGCGCGAAAGCGUGGGGAGCGAACAG